rnacentral:rRNA from 1 species
CCUACGGGUGGCAGCAGUAGGGAAUCUUCCGCAAUGGACGAAAGUCUGACGGAGCAACGCCGCGUGAGUGAUGAAGGUUUUCGGAUCGUAAAGCUCUGUUGUUAGGGAAGAACAAGUGCCGUUCAAAUAGGGCGGCACCUUGACGGUACCUAACCAGAAAGCCACGGCUAACUACGUGCCAGCAGCCGCGGUAAUACGUAGGUGGCAAGCGUUGUCCGGAAUUAUUGGGCGUAAAGGGCUCGCAGGCGGUUUCUUAAGUCUGAUGUGAAAGCCCCCGGCUCAACCGGGGAGGGUCAUUGGAAACUGGGGAACUUGAGUGCAGAAGAGGAGAGUGGAAUUCCACGUGUAGCGGUGAAAUGCGUAGAGAUGUGGAGGAACACCAGUGGCGAAGGCGACUCUCUGGUCUGUAACUGACGCUGAGGAGCGAAAGCGUGGGGAGCGAACAGGAUUAGAUACCCUAGUAGUC